GAGCGAACAGGAGGGAGAUUACCGCCAUGGCGAGGAGCCUGCGUCCCGUGGUGGACCUCCGCGUAACCAAGAAUCCCGAGCCGGCCGAAGACCCUGCGCCAUCGCCUAUCGUCUGGCCGAACGCUUUGGCGCCCUCGUCCUCCUCGACACCUCCUCCGUCGCGUCCAGCCAUCCAUCGAUCCGCUGACCGCCGGGCCACCGCCGCCAUGGGGUUUCAUCGCGCCGCUAUAACACAAGAGCCCGUGACCGAGGAUCCUGGUGAGCAGCAGGUUGAAGUAGCUGAGCAGGAGCUCAUUGAAGGCAAGUUGUGCCCUUGACCACAUUUUACCCAAUAAUGUUCUUUAAUAUCAUUUAUCCAUGCAUAGGUUAAUUUUGAUGGGACCCAAUAGGUCACCCUAGAUUGUUUAUCUCAUUACCAUGUUACCCCUGAAUCACUUGAGUAGUUUGCUAUUGCUUUACAUGGUUUUGGGAUAAUCAUUUAUUAUAUCUAUGUUCCAAUUAUUCUUGUUAUUCUAUUUAUGUUCAUGUCAAGUUCAUUAAUGUUAAUUGGAACAUAGAGCUUAACUUGAGAACCACGUGCCACCACAAGGGUUUAAUGGGACGCCCUUGGCUGACUAAUUAGGAAAGCUAGUGGAAGACUACCUUACCCGAAAGGGGCAAGGGCAGUAGGGGAGUGGUCAGUGUAGGGAGGUCCUUGCUUGAUUUUGCUGCGAUGGCAGUCAGGCAAGAACCCUGCAUUGGAGCUUCCUAUAAACUGUAGCGGGUUUUCGGAAGCUAGUGGAACUUUGUAAAGUCCUCGUAGUGUUGCCCUGCCGCGCUUCCUAGGUAGAGGUGUAUGGGAUUCGCGACCCCUUGGCAGAUGGGUAGCAUGACUUGUGGGUAAAGGGUACAACCUCUGCAGAGUGUAAAACUGGUAUACUAGCCGAGCUCACGGUCAUGAGCAGCUCAGGACUCUCUGAUGAUUAAAUUAUGGAACUUAAAUUCAAUUUUGUCAUUUGCAUAUGCAUGGGUUUAUUAUUAAAUUUGUUCUAUUACUUUAUUUAAGGUUUGGUAUUUACUUACAUCUAGUAAUUGCUAAUAAAAGUUUGACCAACAUUAAAAGCAAUGCUCAACUUUAACCAUUCUCUUUGAUAAGCCUUACACUCCAUGAGCUCCCACCUUUGGUGAGUUCAUGUCACAUUAUUCCCCACGACUUGUUGAGCGAUGAACGUAUGUGAGCUCACCCUUGCUGUCUCACACCCCCCACAGGAGAAGAGCAGGUGGUUCAGGAGGAGCCACAAGGCGAGGAGUAUGAUCUGAUCUAGGUGGCGUUUCUCAGUCGACAUUGGCGCCAACGAUCCUUAGUUUUUUUUAUAUUUAUUCUUUUAUUUUGUAAUAAGUCUUCCGCUAUGUAAUAAAUACUCUGAUUAUUGUGACAUUUAUCUCUAUACACUCUGUUAUUAUAUAUGUUGUCUUCUUGGCGCAUGUAUGAGAUGCACCUGGCUUUGUUCCUUAAAGCCGGGUGUGACAGAAGUGGUAUCAGAGCAAAUGUUGACUGUAGGACGAAACCUAGUUAGAAAUGGACAAAACCUUUACCUACUUACCUUACUCUGAUUCAUUCUAUACUUAUCUCAAUCUGAUUCUUUCUAUACUUAUCUUGACCCUGUCUCACCUUCUACUGUUCUACUCUGACCAUUCUUAUCUUUUCUACUCUAAGACAAGAAAGAUUUCACACCUUGGAAUCCUACAUUUAUAACCUUUUUAAGAGAUAGGAGACCAAAAAAAGAAAUUAAAAAUUAUUUUCUCUAUUAAAAAUGUUGGUUGAUUGUUCUGAUGAUCAAUGCUUGAUUUGCUUCUUUGAUUGAUUGAAACAUUAUAGUUGGGCAUCUUAGCAUGUACCACUAUAAGGUAAUGUAUUAGCUUUAGUGGGUGACACACUAAUCUACUUAGCUAAUAAAUCCCCCGUAGUAACAUUCCUCGUAAUUACAUGCCUUGUCUACAAUUCUUUCUUUCUUACCCUGUAUUUCUAACCUAGAUGGACUACCCCUAUAGUGUUAGAAGAGAGCAUUAUAGACAUGAUCCUUGGUAUGUCAUGGCUAAGAAAGGCAAAGGCCAUUAUAGCAUGUGGUAGAGGUACCGUAGAACUCACUACCACUAAAGGAGAAAGAUUUCAAGUUAAUAUUGCAGUAACCUCCUCGUCCAUGCGUGCAAUGUUCUUUAUACCUGAGGAGUUUGUUGGUGACAACAUCCGGGUGGUUAGAGAUUUUUCGGAUGUCUUUCUAGAGGAGUUACCAGGGAUGCCACCUGAUAGAGAAGUUGAGUUUGUUAUUGAUCUCUCACCUAGAACCGCCCCUAUUUCUAAACGGCCAUAUAGGAUGUCCGUAGAGGAGUUGAAGGAACUUAAGAAGCAGUUAACUGAGUUACAAGAGGCUGGGUACAUUCGUCCGAGUUCCUCACCUUGGGGAGCACCGGUUCUGUUUGUACAGAAGAAGGAUGGAUCACAGCGGAUGUGUGUGGAUUAUAGAUCUCUUAAUGAUGUCACUGUGAAGAACAAGUAUCUGUUGCCCCGUAUUGAGGAUCUAUUUGAUCAGAUGAGAGGUGCUAGAGUAUUCUCGAAGAUUGAUCUCCGAUCCGGUUACCAUCAGAUGAGGAUUAGACCAUCGGAUAUUCCCAAGACGGCUUUCUCAACUCGUUAUGGAUUAUAUGAGUUCACUGUUAUGUCGUUUGGAUUAACCAAUGCACCAGCUUAUUUUAUGAACUUGAUGAAUAAGGUGUUUAUGGAGUAUUUGGACAGAUUCGUCGUGGUAUUCAUCGACGACAUUCUUAUUUAUUCCCAGAGUGAUAGCGAUCAUGAGGAACAUCUGAGGUUGGUGCUACAGAAGCUACGAGAUAACCAGCUAUAUGCCAAGUUCAGCAAGUGCGAGUUUUGGAUUGGCGAGGUGCCAUUUCUUGGUCAUAUUAUUUCUAAUGGAGGAAUUUCAGUGGAUCCUGCUAAAGUUAAGGAGAUAAUGGAGUGGAGAGUACCCACUACAGUUACUGAGAUUCGGAGUUUCUUGGGAUUAGCAGGAUAUUAUCGGAGAUUUAUUGAAGGAUUUUCUAAGAUUGCUAAGCCUAUGACUUCGCUUUUGGAGAAAGGAAGAGAAUUUAAGUGGGACGAGAAGUGUUAAGACAGCUUUGAUCAAUUGAAGAAAAGAUUAAUGUCGCCACCAGUAUUGGUUAUGCCCGACCUACAGAAAGGAUUUGAUAUCUAUUGUGAUGCAUGUGGCCAAGGCUUAGGAUGUGUGCUUAUGCAAGAAGGACAUGUGAUUGCCUAUGCGUCUCGUCAGUUACAGAAACAUGAAUUGAACUACCCCACUCAUGACUUGGAAUUGGCAGCCGUUGUGCAUGCGCUUAAGAUUUGGAGACACUAUAUCAUGGGGACCAAGUGCCAAGUAUACACGGAUCAUAAGAGUUUGAAGUAUAUAUUCACUCAAAAGGAUCUCAACCUUAGGCAACGCCGUUGGUUGGAGCUUAUUAAGGAUUACGACUUGGAGAUUCACUAUCACCCGGGCAAGGCGAAUUUGGUUGCAGAUGCCUUGAGUCGAAAGGAACAUGUUCAUUCAGCUAUUGUUGCCCAGCUACCUGACGAGAUUGUUGAGGAUUUCAGGAGACUUAAUCUGGGGAUAGUUGCUCAUACUGAAGGAGUGACUAUUGAUGUGGAACCUACUUUGGAGCAAGAGAUCCGCAAAGGACAAGUUGGUGAUGCUAAAAUAAAAGAGAUCAAGGAUUUGAUUACUGAAGGUCGAGUUCCGGAAUUUACGGAAGAUGAGCAAGGCACUGUAUGGUUCAAGGACAGAAUGUGUGUUCCUGAUAUUGAAAGCCUUCGUGAGACUAUAUUGAAGGAGGCCCAUGACUCGGAUUAUUCUAUUCAUCUUGGUAGUACCAAGAUGUAUCAGGAUUUGAAGCGGAAAUAUUGGUGGUAUGGAUUGAAAAGAGAUGUAGCUGCACAUGUGGCUAUGUGCGAUGUAUGUCAAAGAGUUAAGGCUGAACACCAGAGGCCAGCUGGAUUGUUACAUCCACUGAAGAUAUCUGAGUGGAAGUGGGAAGAGAUUGGUAUGGAUUUCAUUACUGGAUUGCCUCGCACCCAGAAAGGAUAUGAUGCUAUAUGGGUGAUUGUGGAUAGAUUGACUAAAGUGGCUCACUUUAUUCCUGUGAAGACUACUUAUAAAGGUUCUCAACUAGCAGAGUUAUAUAUGGCUCGGAUUGUGUGUUUACAUGGAGUACCAAAGAAGAUCGUGUCUGAUCGAGGUUCGCAGUUUACCUCAAGAUUUUGGAGAAGCUUUCAUGAGAAUAUGAGUACAAAGUUGAAUUUCAGUACAGCUUAUCACCCUCAGACUGAUGGACAGACUGAAAGGACUAAUCAAGUAUUGGAAGAUAUGUUGAGAGCAUGUGCCCUUCAGCAUGGAGGAAGUUGGGAUAAGAGUCUACCUUAUGCUGAGUUCUCAUAUAAUAAUAGCUAUCAGGCCAGUCUGAAGAUGUCACCUUUUGAAGCUUUAUAUGGGAGGAAGUGCAGGACUCCUCUAUAUUGGGAUCAGACUGGAGAGAGACAGUUCUUUGGGCCUGAACUGAUUCAAGAAGCAGAAGAACAAGUCCUUAUAAUUCGAGAGAAUUUGAGGGUGGCUCAAACUAGGCAAAAGAGUUAUGCUGAUAAUAGACGAAGACCACUGGAAUUUGAGGAAGGAGAUUAUGUGUACCUCAAGGUGUCACCACUUCGUGGAAUGAGGAGAUUCAAAGUUAAGGGCAAAUUGUCCCCACGCUAUAUUGGACCAUUCAUGAUCUUUAGGCGAGUUGGAGAGAUGGCAUACCAACUCGAGUUACCUGCUACUCUAUCGGAUGUGCAUAAUGUGUUCCACGUGUCUCAACUGAAGAAGUGUCUCCGUGUUCCCGAGGAACAGUUACCAAUGGAAGAGCUCAGUGUUCAAGGUGAUUUGACUUACACGGAGUACCCGAUUAAGAUUUUGGAUACUUUGACUCGUGUUACGAGGAAUAAGGUGAUAAAGAUGUGCAAAGUCCAAUGGAGUCACCACGGUGAAGAUGAAGCGACUUGGGAAAGAGAAGAAGAGCUUCGUAUAGAUUUUCCCCACCUUUUCCCUAGAUCUUCUUAAUCUCGAGGACGAGAUUAUUUUUAAGGGGGGUAGGAUUUGUAACACCCACUUUGUAAAUUGUUAGAAAUAAUAUCAAUAGAGAAAUAAUUUCUCUUUAUGUGAGUUUGAUCUUUAUGCAUCAUCAUAUGUGAACACCAUGCCAAAAACAAUUAAUAAAAAGAUAUGCAACUAAAUCAUUGCAUCAUGCUGAAUAUCUGAUUUGUGUGUGCAUUUUUGUGACAAGAUUAUAAUAAUGUAAAAAAGAAAUAUGUUAAAUAUCCAGAUGGGGAUUUAAAACCUAAAAUAAUCCUAGAAUUAAGAAAAAAAGGAGAAGGAAGAGAUUAUACAAAAUAGAGGGGAGAAAGGAAUUUUAUUCAAUAAAUAAAAGUAUAAUUUAAUAACUUCAUCACAGUAGGUAUCAUCAAACUAGAUAAUUAUUCAGUGUACAAAGGUGCCACAAAGUUGAAUUUAAAUUGAAGUGAAUUUGGAAUUCAAAAUAAGGCAAAAUAGGAAAAAUAGAAACAUAAAAAGAAAAAGAAAAGGGGAGAAUACCUAACUGGGCCUCGGAACCCACAUUUGGCCCACCAGAUGAAGCAACCCGCGCAGCCCAGCUUCUAUUCUUUGCGCCGACUGAUGGGGCCCACUGGCCAGUCACAAGUCCUCGCGCGCGCGCUGACCGGACUCCUCCCAACACACUGACCGGUGGGGCCGUUUGACCAGCCUCCGCGUCGCGGUCGUCUCCUCCGCGAAUGUCGCGCGGCGCGGGCGGACCUCGCCGCCAUGGCCGGCGUGGGACUCGCUCGGACCGUUGGGUG